CCCUGGGUGCCACCAGAGAAAUUCAGGCUCCAGCAUGCAUGGUUCUCCUAGCCCUUCAUCCUCCCCCAAUUUCCUGCCUCCCUCCCCUCUCUGCCUCCAAACCUGGGCUAUGCCCAUCCUCAGCAUCUACUCCUUCAAUGGUCUCCGUCAGGGAAGACAGGAAGGCUUCGGCUACCUCUUCGGGGAUGUCAUACAUAAAGGAGUCUGGGAGAGGUCAGAAAUCAGGCUGGAACAUGGUCAGGGAGAAGACACCAUCACCAGGGGAGGGGACGCUUCUCACCUCCAUCAUCGCAGAUGGCUGUUUGUCCAUCCCACCGACCAGUUGCUUGGCAGGUACGAUUGGCAGAGCCCCGGAGAGUGUAGCCAUCAUAGCAGCGGAAAGAGAUCUCAUCGCUCAAAUUGUAGUAGGGGGUCCGGGGCCAGUAUUCCCCAUUCUCAAAUCCCUGUGGUCUUGGGCAGCGAAUUGCUUUGGGGGAGGGAGACAAGUAGAAGUUACUGAGAAGGAAGGGCUUCACUUGAGAGUUUCCCUCCUGGUCUCAGGGACCCUGUCACAGAGAAACAGUGCCUUGGUCCCACAGACAGCAUCAACGCUCAACCUAUGAUGACUCCUGCUUCUCCUCGCUUCCAAUUUCUGAGUGUUCUUUUUACUGCCAGGGUUGCCUGACACAGGGUAGAUGCUCAGUGAAGAUUCACUCCCUUCCUCCUCCCUCUCUCCCUCCUUCAGCCCUAGACAGCUCCUGUGUUUGCUCAGCUCCCCCUGCUAACCUGCCUGGCCUCAAUGCAACUCUAAUAGUAUGCUAGUCUGGCCCCUGGUCACCACCUGUUCCACCCCUCCAUUGACCCGUACCCACCCUCACUGCCCUCCAACCUCUGCAUUCUGCCGUCUUGACAAUCUUUUGGUCUUGGGUCCGCAGGGUGCUCCAGGACCCUGUGGAUCUGCAGGUACGAAUCUGCACAGGGUAUGGGUAGAAGCCAGAGGGACACACAUACUCCAGUGCCUGGCCCUCCUUGAGAAGCCUGAAGGAGCCACCUUUGAUCUCUACUCCUUCCAGAGAGCAGGAGCCUUGGGGCCCAACCACAGUCAAUGGUGGUAUGCUCCCACCUAAAGAAAAAGGCUGAUGAAGCCCAGCCUCCCAAGGCCAAGGAGGAAUACUGGGGGCAGCAGGAAGUGGGGGGGGGGGAGUGGUGACCCUCUUUCUUACCUCCAGACAAGAGGCCCAGCACCAAGAAUACCAGGCAGAGUUGGGGGCUGAGACUGCUCCCCAUAGCGAUGGAAGGCAGGAGAGAAACCAGGUAUGGGGACAAGAUGGUCUAUCCCGGCUUGUGCUGCCUGUCUGCUGGCUUGAUGUCCAAACAAACUUCAGACCUGGGCCUGGUCGCACACCCUUCCCCUGCCCCCCACAACCUCCAGGCUUUUAUGCAAUCUGUGUUCUGGCACCUGUGGCUAACCCCACCUACCCACAUCACUUUCCGGAAUGUCCAGGUGGGAGGGCCCCCACCGAGGUGCCAGUCAAGGAAAUAGGAACUGCAUAAGCCCUACCCUUUCAAUACCACCUCUCAGCUCCAGUUCCUCCCCAGUAAUCCCAGACCACCCCCUUAGGGACCAGAAAUAAGGCUGGCUCACUCCCUGUUGACUCUGUUAUGGAGCAGAGUCCACCCACUGUUUGUCCAGCAGGGUCUCUGACCUGCCUCCCUGUUGUUCCUGGAAUCAUUCUGGAAUCCUCUGCCCCCUGGCCAGCCCCCCAGGCAGAGACACAGACAGAUGAGGAAAUCAUCAAUUUUUAUUAAUUUCAAAACUGGGAAAUUCCACAUGAAAAUGAAAGGAGAGUGAGCCAAGCACAGCAGAGGGUGGGGCCCUGGGUUUCCGCAGCUUGGAUGUGCUGCACGGAGUCCUAGAAACUGGGAGCAUAGAUAGGUCAUGGGGUCUGAUAGAAGUUCAAGAGUGGGAGACUGACAGAUGCUGGCAAGACAACAGAGGAGUCAGUAACCACAAUUAAAGGGGCAAAAAGUUCAAGAUACCCUCCAGGUGCUGCCUCAGCCAGGGCUGUAGGCGAAAGAGAUUGAUGUGAAAAUCUCGUGGUGGUGGGAUCUUGCCCCUGGGGGCCUUUUGGCGGGAGUUUUUAUUGCUGUUGCCACAGGGGUUGUAGAGACCCCAACUCACCAGGCCCACCUG